rnacentral:ncRNA from 1 species
UUCUUAUAUGAAAUGAGAAAAGAUUAGCACUCCACUUUAUAAGAAUAGAAAAAGCCUUGGUGAACUUUACAACAUAUAUACGAUUAAGACAUUGCUACGUACUCUGUAAUGUCUAAACAUGUUUUUUU